rnacentral:tRNA from 1 species
GGUAGCGCGUCUGCUUUGGGAGCAGAAUGUCGCAGGUUCAAAUCCUGUCAGCCCGACCG